rnacentral:lncRNA from 1 species
CACAAUGUCAUUUCUUACAAUGCUAUGAUCGAAGGAUACGCAAGGCAUGAGGAGCUUGUGGAAGCAUUUACCCUGUUCAAUAGGAUGAGAUCAGGGUCCCUGCAUCCAAGCCUCUUGACGUACGUUAGUCUCCUUGGGUUAUCAGCGUCAUUAUCUGUCAUUGAUUUAAGCAAGCAGAUUCACUGCCUUGUCAUUAAAGCUGGUGUGGCAUUGGACCUUUAUGCUGGUAGUGCUUUGGUUGAUGUUUACUCAAAGUGCUUGUGUGCUGAUGAUGCCAGAGCUGUGUUUGAUGAGAUGGAUCUCAGGGAUCUUGUCAUGUGGAAUGCUAUGAUUUUUGGAUACACCCAGAAUGCUCAAGGCGAAGAGGCUCUCAAACUCUUCCAUCAACUGUGUGUUGCUGGGAUGAGACCCAAUGAGUUCACUUUUGUUGCGCUUGUCACAGUUGCUAGCAAUCUUGCAAGCCUGUUCCAUGGCUUACAAUUCCAUAGUCAGAUCAUAAAAGCAGGUUUGGACUUUGAUCCUCAUGUUUCAAAUGCACUUAUUGACAUGUAUGCAAAGUGUGGCUGCAUCGAAGAAGCUUGGAUGUUGUUUGACUCGACUCGUGGAAGGGAUGUUGUUUGCUGGAACUCAAUGAUUUCAAGAUAUGCACAGCAUGGGCAUGCAGAAGAAGCCCUUAAAGUGUUCCAGCUAAUGAGAAAUGAGGAUAUUGAACCCAAUUAUGUUACGUUUGUGGGUGUACUAUCAGCAUGUAGCCAUGCCGGGCUCACUGAGGAAGGACUAUGCCAUUUUCACUCUAUGAAGGACAAAUAUGGGAUCGAACCGGGCAUGGAACAUUAUGCUUCUGUGGUUACGCUUCUGGGUCGUGCAGGGAAAUUGCAGGAGGCAAAGGAAUUUAUUGAGCAGAUGCCUAUCGAACCUGCUGCAGUGGUGUGGAGGAGCUUGCUCAGUGCAUGUCGAGAGUUUGGUAAUGUUGAUUUGGGAAGGUAUGCUGCUGAAAUGUCAAUCUUGAAGGAUCCGAAAGACAGUGGGCCAUAUGUCCUGUUGUCCAAUAUAUUUGCUUCCAAGGGAAUGUGGGCUGAUGCGGAGAAGGUGAGAAAGGGAAUGGAUUAUUUUGGGGCAGUAAAAGAACCGGGAUACAGUUGGGUUGAAGUACAUAAGGAGGUGCAUGUAUUUAUUGCAAGAGGUAGGGAGCAUCCGGAGGCAGACAUGAUCUAUUUGGUGUUGGAUGGGCUGAUGCAGCUAAUCAAGGUUUUUGGAUAUGAACCUGAUACUACUGAACUUUUAAUGGAUGAUAUAAAUGAUUGAGGUCAUACAUAGGAUUACAAGAAGAUGAAUUUGUUCUAUAUACAUCAGUGUGGAAAAGAAAUGGGUCAUUUUCAGAUUGAAGCAUUACUGUGAAGAGCCCUGGAGCAUGUUUAUGUAACAGGUUCAGCUGCUAAUCAUGACCAGAAAAGAUGUGCAAGAGAAAGGGAGAGCAGCAGCAGAUUGAUAAGAAGAGAAGGAAGAUGUGUUGCACAGCAUCAAUCUAGGAUCCACUCGGCACUUAUUUAUUCAGAAAAAAGGGCCGGCCACUUAAUUAGGAGGAUGGACCAAAAUGCCUGGAAACAGGGGCUGGUUUCCACAAAACCCUAAUAGGUGAAUUUGGGCUUGAUUCGGGCUUAACUAACAACCUGUUUACAAUAGACCCUGAUCUUAUCAAUAUUCAUACAUACCCUCCUCAGGCUGGAGCAUGAAUGUCAAUCAUGCCAAGCUUGAUAGUUAUAUUUUUCAGCUGAUCUCGUUUCAUAACUUUGGUUAAACAUCAGCCAAUUCAGAAGCUGAUCAGAUUGUUGUUCUUACAAUUCAUUCCAAUAAAUUCACCUAAUUCAGAAAG